rnacentral:rRNA from 1 species
UGCUUAACACAUGCAAGUCGAACGAUGAAGCCCAGCUUGCUGGGUGGAUUAGUGGCGAACGGGUGAGUAACACGUGAGUAACCUGCCCCCGACUUUGGGAUAAGCCCGGGAAACUGGGUCUAAUACCGGAUAUGACUUCCUGCCGCAUGGUGGGCUGUUGAAAGAUUUAUCGGUGGGGGAUGGACUCGCGGCUUAUCAGCUUGUUGGUGAGGUAAUGGCUCACCAAGGCGACGACGGGUAGCCGGCCUGAGAGGGUGACCGGCCACACUGGGACUGAGACACGGCCCAGACUCCUACGGGAGGCAGCAGUGGGGAAUAUUGCACAAUGGGCGGAAGCCUGAUGCAGCGACGCCGCGUGAGGGAUGACGGCCUUCGGGUUGUAAACCUCUUUCAGUAGGGAAGAAGCGAAAGUGACGGUACCUGCAGAAGAAGCGCCGGCUAACUACGUGCCAGCAGCCGCGGUAAUACGUAGGGCGCAAGCGUUAUCCGGAUUUAUUGGGCGUAAAGAGCUCGUAGGCGGUUUGUCGCGUCUGCCGUGAAAGUCCGAGGCUCAACCUCGGAUCUGCGGUGGGUACGGGCAGACUAGAGUGGUGUAGGGGAGACUGGAAUUCCUGGUGUAGCGGUGAAAUGCGCAGAUAUCAGGAGGAACACCGAUGGCGAAGGCAGGUCUCUGGGCAUUUACUGACGCUGAGGAGCGAAAGCAUGGGGAGCGAACAGGAUUAGAUACCCUGGUAGUCCAUGCCGUAAACGUUGGGCACUAGGUGUGGGGAAAUUCACGUUUUCCGCGCCGUAACUAA